rnacentral:lncRNA from 1 species
GGCACCACCUCCGGCGGGUGACAGCAGGCUUCCCACGCCGCCCGCGAGGCGGAGGGGCCGCCCGGGCUGGCCGCGGGUUCCUCGGCAGGGUCGCAGAUGUCCUCCAGGGCUCCCGGGCAGGCAGGCUCCCCAUCCGGCGGCUCUCGGUGCUGCGUCUGCCGCUUGUGCUUCAUGCGCCGGUUCUGAAACCAGACUUUGACCUGCCUUUCGGUGAGGUCCAGCAAGGCCGCGAUCUCGACGCGGCGUGGCCGGCACAGGUACUUAUUAAAGUGGAAUUCCUUCUCCAGUUCCAGCAGCUGCGUGUUGGUGUAAGCCGUGCGCAGCCUGCGCGCCCCGCCGCCACCAGCCUCCGGCAGUCCCAGGCCAUCUGCAGGGAAAACAGGCUCGGCGUCAUAGCGGGCCGUGUACUCAGCCCAACCUCAGUUCGGACUACCCCAUCCUCCAAAACCAGUAUCACCUCUCCCCUUCCUCGCCACCCCACCCCCGCCCCCACCCCAAAGCCGCUCGCUUUACUGCUUUUGGGUUUUCUUCUCUCCCUCUCUAGUCUACAGCCCCGGCCCGGGUCAGGGCAAAGCAUUCAGAGCCGCCCACGGGCCACGCAGGGGGCGGAGAGCGGCUCCCUUCGGCGCCGGAACCUCAGAUCCCCCUCCCAAGCCCUCCCAGUGGACCCCUCAAUUCGGAACUUUCCAACUCAACCGGAGCGAGGGUCAGAAAGAUUGUUCUUCACCCCUCUUCCUCCCUAGCUCUGAAUUCUUCCUCUUCUCCUAGAGUUGGGGCAGAAAGGACCGAAUCUUUUCUGCUUCUAGGGUCUAUCCCAGCAACAACAUACUCAUUCCCCUACACAGAUACGGGUGAAAACCUCAAUCAAAUCAUUUUCUUCUAGCAGAAAAAAAGGCGUUUCCCCAACCAGCUUCCAAAAUCAGCCAUAGGGAGAGAAAGAGAGAGAGAGACAGAAAAAAAAAAAGACGCUGUUAGCGGCCAGGCCUGAACCCCAGUGGGAUAUUCUACUUCCCCAUCCCAGGAAUGGAGGGGGACUCCAGCGAAAUUACAGGGAAUUCGUGGUCACGGGACCGGCCUCCGCCAAUCGCUCGUCUGGGCCUGGUGGAAAACAGAGAGCAUUAUUUGGUUUAAUUGAUUCAAAAACACCAGAGGACCACGACCAGGACACCAUGAGCCCCCAUUCCUACACCAGUGCCUCACAUGCUCUCUCCCCAAUGCCUCCGUUUCUCCAGAAAAGCUAGAGGAACCUUUUCCUCAUCCCCUUCGAAGGAAAAGAUGAGUGAGGAUCUCCGCGUUGGAGGAAGAGGGAGUCGAAAGAGGCUUCCACUCUUUGAAAAAGGUCAGUAUUAAGGUGAAAAUAAGAAAGAGAUUUACAAUCAUCACACCACUAUCCCUGUUACCCUCCAAAAACAACAGUUAAAUCUUGGGAAAUGGACAGGAACUCCCAGGCAGACACAUAGGAGUGAGAUGGAGCAUAAGGGGCAUUUUUGGGCCUCUGGCCUCCAUCGCUGUAUGGUCUGGGUUCUCUUCUCUGCCCAGUGUUUGCAGCACUGCCUCUGCCCCUUAUGUACCCCUGCUUUCCUCACUUUCAGGCUUCCAUGCUUCUCUGUGACAUCCCCCAAAAACAGGCAGAGUCUAAGAUGUGCAUGUACCCACUCAAGCCUCAAGCUUGUAUCUGUAUCCAUAUCCAGGGACAUGAACAAGAACUGAGGUAGCCAUUGGUUUAACUUAGAGCACUCUCAAAGUUCAGAUCAGCGUUAUGUGUGUGCAUGAGUGUGGUGGGGAGAUUUUCCCCUAGGACAAAGAGACUUUCCCUCCCAUUUUUGCCAUUGUGCUAGUUAAAAAAGAAAAAAGAAAAAAAAAAAAAAAAGAAUCCCUGACAAGGAAGAAUUCCCUGAAGAUGGUAGGGGUGGAAAUAAUGACCACUGAGAUGAUAUUCCAUUUCUGGCUGCUGGGGGAAAAUGUUUUUAAAAUUUAUUUUAUUUUGAGGAGACCAAGAUAGUCUGAAGUUUAGAGUGUUGUAAUUUACUAUGGGGAGAGGGCACAAGACUCUGAGCCCCAAGCAAUUGGUGGGAAACUAGGCCUCAAAGCAGAAAAUGAAAAGUCGAUCUGGGGGAAGAUUUUUAAAUAAGUGGGUCAGACGGAUGGAGAGGAGAUGAGGCGAUCAAUCUUAGCCCCCUGACAGCUCCCUCCGAUUGCAUCAAAGAAUUUGGCUCUUUGGGAAAGCAGAGCGAACAGCCAAAAUUUCACAUCCCUUAAAAAGGCCUGGGGGUGGGGGUGGGGGUGCAAAAGAGAAGGGUGAUUCUGGGAGAGCUGGGAAACAGAUGGGAAAUGGGGACAGAGGGAAAGCGCUAAGUUGGGUGGAAAGUUUGCCUGGAGAACUCCCAUGGCUUUGGCCUCCCCUCCCCCUCCUCUCUCUCUGCUGCCCAGCCAGGAGGAGAAGGCUGGUUAGCAGAGAAAUGGCAACUGAGCCCGGAGCUGGAACUAGAAACUUUCUGUCAGUGUAACAUCUGCGUGAGUACUUAAAAAGAAGGACAGAGAAGUCUGAGUAGAAGCAUGAGGGUGGGGGAGAGGAGGAUGGAGAAAGGGGAGUUGGAGGUGGGGGCUGCAGGGACCGAGGAGGCAUGCUCUGGAGGGCUCAGAACAGAGAGAGCUGCUCUGACCUGGGCAAAGUGGCCAGCGACAGUAGUGUGCAACUAGGCUCCAAAGAAAACAAUUUUUGCCAUUUAGAGGUGUGGAUGGGGGUGGGCAUAGAAUAAUCCAAAUAGUAGCUGUCUGGAAGUCAUGCAGGGAGGCCUGAGAGUGGGUUCUCCCUCUGGCCACCCCCUUGAACACCUCUGAAAGUUUAGCAACAGCUUCUGUAGCUGGCUGAAGGAUCCAGAGCUUAUCUCAGGCAACUCGGGCAGACUGUCCCUGCAGGAAAUACAGCUCUCUCUAACCCUCACUGACAGAUUUUAUGGCCAGAUUAGCAAACAGCGGAAAACUUGGGUGUUAAAAGGGGCCCAGAGAACCCUCCUUUUCAGAGACAUCCCUCCCCCGCCCCCCUGUCCUGCUGUGAAUUUAACAGCACGGAUAUUUUACCCACGUCUUUGGCUGCUUUAGCUGAGCGCCUGGAAUCUUCCAAAGAGAAGGAUAGGGAACACCAAGCCAAGUUGGUUCUUAUUUUUCUUGUUUGCAAUUCCAGCUUCGAGCCAAAGCUCUGUUUUUCAAACUUAAGCUAAAUUCUCUUUCUUGGCCUCUUUCCUGCUAGAUAAAUAACAACCCAACCCAGCCCCAGAGCCAAACAUGGUGCUUCAUCUAGUUAUAUCAUUCAGAAAAUGUUAUUCAAGGAAGAAGAGAGAAAGAGAAAGAAAGAAAAACCCUUGAGCGUUAUUUGAUCCCAAUCAAACUUUGCACGCUCUUAUGCCUUUAAAUUAUAGCCUGACCCAAUGCUAAAUUGCUUGCUGCUUGGAUGAGUCCAGUUAAAAUCCUACUUGGUGGUGGGGAAGGGGGAGGGCGUAGAGUUCAGGUUGCUUUUUUAUUGUUAUUUAUUGUUGCAUAAAGACUAUAAUUACUAACCUUGGACUGCCAGGAUGCAACAUAAAAAUGAAAAUCAGCCCUCUCUUUAAGGCAGGGCCUGGAACGAUUCUCACUCCCCCAACAUCACUACCACCAAAUAUAUGCUCCUAAUUAAGCAAUGCGGGCACAUCGCUUACAAUUAGAAUUAUGCAGCUCUUCAGCAAGCAGCCAUCGCUUCUCUUUCAACGAAUUAGCUCCAUAUUUCAGCCGCCCUGUCUUCUCGCUCUUAUCGGCUCCAGCGACUCGGCGGUGACAUUUCAUCUUUGACAGACCUUCUCUAUUUUCACUCCAAUGUGAUAAAACUUUUAUGGAACCACAACUAAGAAAUGAAGUUUUCCCAAGGAUGAUGGAAACAGAGCCGCACAUUAGCCUGGGGACCGUUUUAUUUACGCUUGGAUCCAACAGCUUCUCCCACCCUCCUCUCCCCUUUCUCUGGCAGGGGAAAUCGAACGUGCUUCCCCUCCCUCCGCCUCGAGUUUUAUUUAGUGAUUUAAUUUUACUUAGUUUUAAAGUUUGACCUGAGAAGUCUAGGCCUCAGUUUUGUUUUUUUUUUUUUUUUAGAUUAAUCAUUUUUCUUUGUUUUCAUUUUAGACCCAAUGGUGGUUGGGCUUCGGGUCACGUGACACCUUCUUUGUGGCUCCGGAAGAGGAUUGUGAAGUUUAGGUUUCGUGGAAGAAACCGAUAAUUGAGGAAAAAAAAAAAUCAAGAUUUGGGGGGAAUUACCUACAAAGAUGUAAGGUGUGUUAAUUUGGGCGCUUCUUGGAUUCUACCCUGAGGAGGAGGCGCGUGGUGAGAGGAGAGAUCUUGAUCUGCCGCUCGCUGAGGUUCAGCAGGUUGGCCAUCUCUACACGGCGAGGCCGGCACAGGUAGCGGUUAAAAUGGAACUCCUUCUCCAGCUCCACCAGCUGCGCGCUCGUGUACGCCGUCCGCGCCCGCUUGGACGCCGCCGACCCCGGGGGGCUCUUGUCCCCUCCCCCGCCGCCGCCGCCACCGCCCCCGCUGCCACCACUGCCUCCGCCGCCGCCGCCACCGCCGCCGCCACCACAGCCCUCUGCUGGAUCCGAGGGGGAGGGGUGGGAAGGGGAGAAAAUGAAAUAAAAGAUAAUUACUGAACACGCCGAAAUUGAAUGCAUCGUUUCUUAAUAAAUCCAGGCCUGGACUCAGAGCCCCCGCCGCCCUCCCCUUCGGGUCCCCGCCGCCUCCUCACUCCCCCACCCCACCGCCCGUCGCAUUAGCGGACACUCUAUAAUAGUGGCAUUUAUUAAGAGACC